rnacentral:rRNA from 1 species
UACGAAGGGUGCUAGCGUUGUUCGGAAUUACUGGGCGUAAAGCGCGCGUAGGCUGCAAGGCAAGUCAGUGGUGAAAUCCCGGAGCUCAACUUCGGAACUGCCAUUGAAACUGCUUUGCUAGAAUCUCAGAGGGGAUAGCGGAAUUCCAAAUGUAGGGGUGAAAUCCGUAGAUAUUUGGAGGAACACCGAUGGCGAAGGCGGCUAUCUGGAUGAGUAUUGACGCUGAGGCGCGAAAGCGUGGGGAUCAAACAGG